CCAUUAAAACCAACAACGCAACUAUUCAUAAAGUAGAACAAGGCAACGCUCUCAUUCAAUAUUCAACAAGCAUAUUCCAAGCUUCAAGUCUUCUAGACUGCGCCAGAAAAUGUCAACAACAGAGCUGUGCCUGCUUCUCAUAUAACAUUCAGUCAUGCUCCAUUGGCAAAUGUAACUCAACCAACACGACCUUAGGUCCAAGUCAAGAGAUUUAUGUUUCAUGUUUUAGCAGUGACGGUUUUACUUUCAUCACUUUUGGUUCUGUUAUCGCAUGAGUGUGGGUGUCAACGAACAUAACAGAUUACAUCACUGCCAGAGAUGACUGCAGAAGCAAGGAUGCUUAUCUGUAUACUGUCAAGAGGAUGGACAAACUUAAAUGGUUACAGACUUAUCACAAAAGAACUAAAAUAUGGAUUGGAUUAAACGACAUCGAAGUAGAAGGAACAUACAGGUGGGAAGACGACAAUUCCAUCUGCAGCCAGAACUGGAUUAAUCAGACUUUUAUCCCAGGUGAACCAAAUAACCAAAUAAUUGGUGAUCAAAAUGGGGAAGACUGCAUCAACUUCUACCAUUUCUACUCAGACCUGCUUAAUGAUUCACCGUGCUCGAUUAACUAUACCUACAUUUGUGAAAAGCCUUUUUUUAACUUCCCAUAAGCGAAUCGGAUAAAAUGUUCGCUGUUUCUCCACUGACGUACCAAUGGAAAUGGACAUAUUACAAUUAAUAUUUCUCAAGCAUCAAUGUCUUAUUGAAAUUGUACAAGGCUAUUAAGAAAAAUAACA